AUAUUUUUAUAAACAAUUCUAAUUUGUUAAUAAACUAUUAUACUAAGCUUUGAAUAAAUAUUUAUGUGUUUUAUUAUAAUAUUAAGAUAUUUUAUGAAUGUUUAAAAUAUAUUGAGAAAUGUUUUUUUUAAUAAUCAUGUGUUUAAUCAUGUUUUAAUGUGGGUUUAUUUUUGUUAAUAUUAAAAAAAAUUUGAAACUGGCCACAAAGGAUAAAGAUCUGGAAAUACAACAAAUAUUAAUUUCGGCCCGAAUGGCCCAGAUGAAAAAGAUCUGUACCGACAAAAUGUGUUGAUUGACCCAGUUAUUUAAAAAAAAAAACAGAAAAGGAAAGAAAAAAAAAUUGAUGUCUCGAUGUUUCUUGAUCAUACAAAGAUUUCCAUGGCGAAACUACAAAUCAAAGCUAUAGAACUCAUGAGAUUAACGGCCACAUAAUCCUUGCGGUGGUAAAGAUUGAAACCACUGCUUGAAGAGGUGACAAUCGAGGGUAGCAAAUCAAAGAACUACCGAUGUUUUAUGAUUAGCUUCUAAAGUCAAACCAACGCUUGGAAACUCGGUAGAUCCACCGAGGACUUCACCUUUUCCGAUCUCCUUAGAUGAUUUUUUUCUAACUUUUCCUUUUAGCAGAGAUAAAGAUCUUAAAAAAAUAAUUCUUGCUUGUUUUGAAUGUCGGAUCUUAAGCCAUCCGUGAUAAGAGCUGGCAAGUUUGAGAUGGUUGUCGACUUCACCUUCUCAGAUCUCUUUGACAAAGUCAUAAGGAGAUUUGAAAGACCACAAAACGCUUCGAUAAAUUUGGAUAAAGACAAAUAUGUUGGAAGUGAACAUUUACCAAAUACAAAAGGAAGAUCAUGCUAAUACCAAAAAUUAGUUAUGGAGAGCCGUGGAAGAAGGAUUUUGGACCUGUCUUGGCUUAUCUCAACUCUGUCAAAGAGGUAAUUUACAUUAUUGAAGACAUUUUAGGUUUUUGUUUGAUAUUGUAGCUGUGAGUAGAUGUGAGAAACUCAGAAAAGUUAGGCACGUUAUGGGUGUAUAUAUAGUAUUAGGUUAGGCGAUAGUUUUUUAAGUGUCGCUUAGAAAAUUCUCUAGCAUAUUCGGAUUCAGUUUAGGAAAUCCCUAGAGUAGUGAUCAAGCAAAAAAGAUUUAGAGAUUUAUUGUUAGCUUAGAUUUACAUAUAAAUAUAUAAAUAUAAUAUUUACAAUUCAGUUGGAAUAAAAUAUCUUUAUAAAAUCUAUGAUGUAAAGGUGAAAUAAUUUUCAUAGUAAAUAUGUAUCCUUGAAUCCCAAGUAAAACGAUAUAGUGCAAUAAAUACAUAAUUGUUUUCCACGUUAUUGAUUAGCAAGGCUA